CCUACGGGAGGCAGCAGUGGGGAAUAUUGCACAAUGGGGGAAACCCUGAUGCAGCGACGCCGCGUGAGUGAAGAAGUAUCUCGGUACGUAAAGCUCUAUCAGCAGGGAAGAUAAUGACGGUACCUGACCAAGAAGCCCCGGCGAACUACGUGCCAGCAGCCGCGGUAAUACGGAGGGGGCCAGCGUUAUCCGGAUUUACUGGGUGUAAAGGGAGCGUAGACGGGUGUACAAGUCUGGAGUGAAAGCCCGGUGCUUAACCCCGGAACUGCUUUGGAAACUGUGCGGCUGGAGUGCAGUAGGGGUAAGCGGAAUUCCUAGUGUAGCGGUGAAAUGCGUAGAUAUUAGGAGGAACACCGGUGGCGAAGGCGGCUUACUGGAACGCAACUGACGUUGAGGCACGAAAGCGUGGGGAGCAAACAGGAUUAGAUACCCGAGUAGUC
rnacentral:rRNA from 1 species